rnacentral:rRNA from 1 species
ACGUAGGGGGCAAGCGUUGCUCGGAAUUACUGGGCGUAAAGGGUGUGUAGGUGGUUGAUUAAGUUAAGGAUGAAAUCCCGAGGCUCAACUUCGGAACUGUCCUUGAUACUGGUCAGCUUGAGUCGAGUAAAGGAGGGAGGAAUUCCCGGUGGAGCGGUGAAAUGCGUAGAUAUCGGGAGGAACACCAGAGGCGAAGGCGGUUCUCUUGGCUGGAACUGACCCUGAGACACGAAAGCGAGGGGAGCAAACUG